rnacentral:tRNA from 1 species
CGAAGUUUCGAUCGCUUCGUACUACGGUGGUCGGGUUGUCGUAGCCGUGGCUUGCAAAAUUUGCAAGU